UACGGAGGGGGCUAGCGUUGUCCGGAAUUACUGGGCGUAAAGCGCGCGUAGGCGGCUUUGUAAGUUAGAGGUGAAAGCCCGGAGCUCAACUCCGGAAUUGCCUUUAAGACUGCAUCGCUAGAAUCAUGGAGAGGUGAGUGGAAUUCCGAGUGUAGAGGUGAAAUUCGUAGAUAUUCGGAAGAACACCAGUGGCGAAGGCGGCUCACUGGACCGGUAUUGACGCUGAGGUGCGAAAGCGUGGGGAGCAACCAGG
rnacentral:rRNA from 1 species